CCUAAAUAAACAGGGUGUGUGAAUUCUCUUGAACUCUCUUCAGAAUGAUGUGGGUUCCUUUGGUUUUGUUCCUGGGGACGUUUUUCUCAGGUUCUAAGUCCCAGUUGGUGUUAACCCAACCACCUUCAGUGGCAGAAUCUCUGGGAUCAACCGUCAGGAUCUCUUGUGCUUUGAAAAGUGACAGCAACUACAAUGAUCAAAGGGUCCGCUGGUACCAACAGCAGAAUGGGGGUGUCCCGCGGUUUAUAUAUCAUUAUCGUCAUGGCAACACCCAGGAAAGGGGCUCCGGGGUCCCCGAGAGAUUCACAGUUUCCCCUGAAGCCACCAACAAACUCUGGUAUUUAGUGAUCACAGGCGUCCAGGCUGAGGAUGAUGCUGAUUAUUAUUGCUGUACAUGGGAUGGUACACUCAGCAAGUAUCACAGUCCAAGUUUCCAGCAAUUGCAAUCCCUGAAACCUUCAGAGACCCCCCCUCUAGGGGGGUCCAUCACCAUGUCUUGCAGAUAUAGCAGUGGAACCAUCACUAGUGGCAAUUACCCUCUAUGGGUCCAACAGAGCCCAGGGAAAACUCCAAGACUUCUUAUAUACAGCACCAGUACCAGAGUAUCUGGCAUCCCAGAUCGUUUCAGUGGGUCAAGCUCUGGAAACACGAUGUCCCUGACCAUCAGUGGGGCCCAGGCUGAAGAUGAAGCUGAUUAUUACUGUGCUGUGUGGCAUGGGGGUGGGUCGCACAGCAACUCAUUCAAAUGA